rnacentral:rRNA from 1 species
CCUACGGAGUGCUGCAGUGGGGAAUAUUGGACAAUGGGCGAAAGCCUGAUCCAGCCAUGCCGCGUGUGUGAAGAAGGCCUUCGGGUUGUAAAGCACUUUCAGUGGGGAAGAAAGCCUUGGGGCUAAUACCCUCGAGGAAGGACAUCACCCACAGAAGAAGCACCGGCUAACUCCGUGCCAGCAGCCGCGGUAAUACGGAGGGUGCGAGCGUUAAUCGGAAUUACUGGGCGUAAAGCGCGCGUAGGCGGUCUGAUAAGCCGGUUGUGAAAGCCCCGGGCUCAACCUGGGAACGGCAUCCGGAACUGUCCGGCUAGAGUGCAGGAGAGGAAGGUAGAAUUCCCGGUGUAGCGGUGAAAUGCGUAGAGAUCGGGAGGAAUACCAGUGGCGAAGGCGGCCUUCUGGACUGACACUGACGCUGAGGUGCGAAAGCGUGGGUAGCAAACAGGAUUAGAUACCCGUGUAGUC